rnacentral:rRNA from 1 species
CGUGUAGGCGGCUUUGCAAGUCGGGUGUGAAAGCCCUCAGCUCAACUGAGGAAGUGCGCCCGAAACUGCAGAGCUUGAGUGCCGGAGAGGGUGGCGGAAUUCCCCAAGUAGAGGUGAAAUUCGUAGAUAUGGGGAGGAACACCGGUGGCGAAGGCGGCCACCUGGACGGUCACUGACGCUGAGACGCGAAAGCGUGGGUAGCAAACA